GAUGAACGCUGGCGGCGUGCAUAAUACAUGCAAGUCGAACGCUUUGUGGUUCAACUGAUUUGAAGAGCUUGCUCAGAUAUGACGAUGGACAUUGCAAAGAGUGGCGAACGGGUGAGUAACACGUGGGAAACCUACCUCUUAGCAGGGGAUAACAUUUGGAAACAGAUGCUAAUACCGUAUAACAAUGACAACCGCAUGGUUGUUAUUUAAAAGAUGGUUCUGCUAUCACUAAGAGAUGGUCCCGCGGUGCAUUAGCUAGUUGGUAAGGUAAUGGCUUACCAAGGCGAUGAUGCAUAGCCGAGUUGAGAGACUGAUCGGCCACAAUGGGACUGAGACACGGCCCAUACUCCUACGGGAGGCAGCAGUAGGGAAUCUUCCACAAUGGGCGAAAGCCUGAUGGAGCAACGCCGCGUGUGUGAUGAAGGGUUUCGGCUCGUAAAACACUGUUGUAAGAGAAGAAUGACAUUGAGAGUAACUGUUCAAUGUGUGACGGUAUCUUACCAGAAAGGAACGGCUAAAUACGUGCCAGCAGCCGCGGUAAUACGUAUGUUCCAAGCGUUAUCCGGAUUUAUUGGGCGUAAAGCGAGCGCAGACGGUUAUUUAAGUCUGAAGUGAAAGCCCUCAGCUCAACUGAGGAAUUGCUUUGGAAACUGGAUGACUUGAGUGCAGUAGAGGAAAGUGGAACUCCAUGUGUAGCGGUGAAAUGCGUAGAUAUAUGGAAGAACACCAGUGGCGAAGGCGGCUUUCUGGACUGUAACUGACGUUGAGGCUCGAAAGUGUGGGUAGCAAACAGGAUUAGAUACCCUGGUAGUCCACACCGUAAACGAUGAGUGCUAGGUGUUUGAGGGUUUCCGCCCUUAAGUGCCGCAGCUAACGCAUUAAGCACUCCGCCUGG
rnacentral:rRNA from 1 species